rnacentral:rRNA from 1 species
UACAGAGGGGGCAAGCGUUGUUCGGAAUUACUGGGCGUAAAGGGCGCGUAGGCGGCCUGUUAAGUCGAACGUGAAAUCCCUGGGCUCAACCCAGGAACUGCGUCCGAUACUGGCAGGCUUGAAUCCGGGAGAGGGAUGCGGAAUUCCAGGUGUAGCGGUGAAAUGCGUAGAUAUCUGGAGGAACACCGGUGGCGAAGGCGGCAUCCUGGACCGACACUGACGCUGAGGAGCGAAAGCCAGGGGAGCAAACGGG